CUGGUCUUGACAUCCACGGAAGUUUUCAGAGAUGAGAAUGUGCCUUCGGGAACCGUGAGACAGGUGCUGCAUGGCUGUCGUCAGCUCGUGUUGUGAAAUGUUGGGUUAAGUCCCGCAACGAGCGCAACCCUUAUCCUUUGUUGCCAGCGGUCCGGCCGGGAACUCAAAGGAGACUGCCAGUGAUAAACUGGAGGAAGGUGGGGAUGACGUCAAGUCAUCAUGGCCCUUACGACCAGGGCUACACACGUGCUACAAUGGCGCAUACAAAGAGAAGCGACCUCGCGAGAGCAAGCGGACCUCAUAAAGUGCGUCGUAGUCCGGAUUGGAGUCUGCAACUCGACUCCAUGAAGUCGGAAUCGCUAGUAAUCGUGGAUCAGAAUGCCACGGUGAAUACGUUCC
rnacentral:rRNA from 1 species